rnacentral:rRNA from 1 species
UACAGAGGGUGCGAGCGUUGUUCGGAAUUACUGGGCGUAAAGCGCGCGCAGGCGGUCCUUUAAGUCUACCCGUGAAAUGCCGGAGCUCAACUCCGUGCACGCCGGGGGAUACUGGAGGACUGGAGACGAGUAGAGGCAAGCGGAAUUCCGGGUGUAGCGGUGAAAUGCAUAGAUAUGUCACAGAACACCGAUUGCGAAGGCAGCUUGCUAAGGUUUUAAUGACGCUGAGGCACGAAAGCGUGGGGAUCAAACAGG